GAUGUGGGUCCUCCAGGACAGCUAGGACGUUGGCUCAGAAGCAGCCAUCCAUUCAAAGAGUGCGUAAUAGCUCACUAGCCGAGAGGGCCUGCGCCGAAAAUGACCGGGGCUCAAACACGACACCGAAGCUCAGGAAUCGCAUAUAUGUGAUUGGUAGGGGAGCAUUGACAGCGGGCUGAAGCGUCACCGUAAGGAGGCGUGGACUGCUGUGAAGAGAGAAUGCCGGAAUGAGUAGCGAGAUGGAGGUGUGAAUCCUCCAGGCCGAAUAUCCAAGGUAUCCAGGGUAAAGCUGAUCUUCCCUGGGGAAGUCGGGGCCUAAGGCCAGGCCGAAAGGCGUAGCCGAUGGACAACAGGUCUAUAUUCCUGUACCGUAUGAUGACAGAACUGUGGGGACACGGAAACAAAGCGCAUCCGGGGAAUGGAACCCCCGGGCAAGCCACGCUAGCCGCACGGGCAGCAAACCUCCCGUGCAUAAGGCGAAGGGGCGACGCGGAGCGAACUUAAAGUAGCGAAGUGCGCAGAGGGGCCGUCGAGAAAAGCCGCUAUUGUUCAUCAUAUGCCCGUACCAUAGACCGACACAGGUGGAUGAGGAGAGAAUCCUAAGGCUGACGGAAGAAGCAUUGCUAAGGAACUCGGCAAAAUGUACCCGUAACUUCGGGAGAAGGGUAGCCUGGUUCGCCAGGCCGCAGAGAAGAGGCUCAAGCAACUGUUUAGCAAAAACACAGGUCUAUGCGAAACCGUAAGGUGAUGUAUAUGGGCUGACGCCUGCCCGGUGCUGGAAGGUUAAGAGGAGAGGUUAGCGUAUGCGAAGCUUUGAAUUCAAGCCCCAGUAAACGGCGGCCGUAACUAUAACGGUCCUAAGGUAGCGAAAUUCCUUGUCGGGUAAGUUCCGACCCGCACGAAAGGCGUAAUGAUUUGGGCGCUGUCUCAACAAUGCAUCCGGUGAAAUUGAAAUACCAGUAAAGAUGCUGGUUACCUGCGCCAGGACGGAAAGACCCCAUGGAGCUUUACUCUAGCUUGAUACUGGGAUUCGAUAUUGUAUGUACAGGAUAGGUGGGAGACUUGGAAGCACGGACGCAAGUACGUGUGGAGUCAUCCUUGGAAUACCACCCUUGCAGUAUUGGGUUUCUAACAUGCAGCCGUUAUCCGGCUGGUGGACAAUGUCAGGUGGGGAGUUUGACUGGGGCGGUCGCCUCCGAAAGGGUAUCGGAGGCGCUCAAAGGUUCCCUCAGAAUGGUCGGAAACCAUUCGCAGAGUGCAAAGGCAUAAGGGAGCUUGACUGUGACACCGACGGGUGGAGCAGGUACGAAAGUAGGACUUAGUGAUCCGGUGGUAUAACGUGGGAUUGCCAUCGCUCAACGGAUAAAAGCUACCCUGGGGAUAACAGGCUUAUCACUCCCAAG
rnacentral:rRNA from 1 species